rnacentral:lncRNA from 1 species
AGUGGAUACAUUUGCGAGAUAUAAGUGACAAAAGGUAUUUCAUUUCAUACUUGGGUAAUUCCAGAAUACUAGUUAAUUAGUAGAAGUCUAAUUCUAUAAGGAGUUUUGCAAUAUUCAAAGCAUAUCAAAAGCAUUGCAGGAGCAAAAUCUUUUAAAGAGAAAGUUGGUUGGAUAUAUACUUGCCUUAAUUCUGGUGUCUAGCUCGGGUUUCGAUUAACACUAUGUAGUGCCUUAUCAUUCCUUUCUACUAACUUCUGACAAGAUUCCAUCUAUAUAGCAAAUCUCUGCGUAACUUCAACUUGCAACACAACUUAGCUAUUUCUGAAUACCCACUUCAAUCACUUCUUGAUCAACGUCUCGUUCAAUUUUAUAGGAUGGCAAAUAGUAUUUCAGUCAUCGGAUCAGACGGAUUAACUAAGCUUGAAAAGCAUUAAGACCUAUUAUCUAUCUACCCUUCGCAUAUACAUACCACAUAGUCAGAUAAACACAUAGCACAUAGUUGAACAAUUAACUUUUAUAGAUACUAAAAGUCAAUAUUGAUAAGUUAACAUAUAACAAGUUUCAGUUAACCAUAUCACUUUAUUCUUAUCUAUUUAAUAUCCUUUAACAAGUAGAAUAUAUAUAUAAUUUCUAACAAAAAUUCGGCAUGACCUAUUCGUGAUAUGGACCAUACCCUGAGUAACCACACCACAAAUACAAUCCACAAGUCAUUUCAAUAUUCUUAUCCGUCUCAAACUUUUCCAUUUAACAUGAAAAGAAGUAAUUUUGCCUUGACUUGCAGCUAUGCUAUCGAAAUAAACCUGCCUUGACAUGUAGUUAUUCUAAC